UACAGAGGUCUCGAGCGUUAUGCGGAAUCACUGGGCUUAAAGCGUGUGUAGGUGGAUCGGUAAGUACCUUGUGAAAUCCCACGGCUUAACCGUGGAACUGCUUGGUAUACUGCCAGUCUUGAGCCAGCUAGGGGCUACCGGAACAAAUGGUGGAGCGGUGAAAUGCGUAGAUAUCAUUUGGAACGCCAAUGGUGAAAACAGGUAGCUGGGGCUGUGCUGACACUGAGACACGAAAGCCAGGGGAGCAAACGGG
rnacentral:rRNA from 1 species